rnacentral:piRNA from 1 species
UGGGUGUUGUUUGCUUCUGGGCCCCAGUG